UCCCUCAUAGCUCAGUUGGUAAAGAAUCUGCCUGCAAUGCAGGAGAUCCAGGUUUGAUUCCUGGGUCGGGAA
rnacentral:tRNA from 1 species